GUGGGGAAUAUUGGUCAAUGGGGGAAACCCUGAACCAGCAACGCCGCGUGAAGGAAGAAGGCUUUCGGGUUGUAAACUUCUUUGACAGGGGACGAAACAAAUGACGGUACCCUGAAAACAAGCCACGGCUAACUACGUGCCAGCAGCCGCGGUAAUACGUAGGUGGCAAGCGUUGUCCGGAUUUACUGGGUGUAAAGGGCGUGUAGGCGGGACGGUAAGUCAGAUGUGAAAUGUAGGGGCUCAACCCCUGAACUGCAUUUGAAACUAUCGUUCUUGAGUGAUGGAGAGGCAGGCGGAAUGCCGUGUGUAGCGGUGAAAUGCGUAGAUAUACGGAGGAACACCAGUGGCGAAGGUGGCCUGCUGGACAUUAACUGACGCUGAGGCGCGAAAGCGUGGGGAGCAAACAGGAUUAGAAACCCCAGUAGUCC
rnacentral:rRNA from 1 species